rnacentral:rRNA from 1 species
AUGGACCCAGCUUUGCUGGGUUUGAUGGCGACCGGCGCACGGGUGAGUAACGCGUAUCCAACCUGCCCAUCACUUGGGAAUAACCUUGCGAAAGUAAGACUAAUGCCCAAUGACAUUUAUAGAAGGCAUCUGAAUGGGAUUAAAGAUUUAUCGGUGAUGGAUGGGGAUGCGUCUGAUUAGCUUGUUGGCGGGGUAACGGCCCACCAAGGCUACGAUCGGUAGGGGUUCUGAGAGGAAGGUCCCCACAAUGGAACUGAGACACGGUCCAUACUCC